CGCCAGUCGAUUGACAGCGAAGAGAAG
rnacentral:SRP_RNA from 1 species